rnacentral:rRNA from 1 species
UAUCUCUGUAGAGUCUGCAUAUCAAUAAGCGGAGGAAAAGAAACUAACAAGGAUUCCCCUAGUAACGGCGAGUGAAGCGGGAAGAGCUCAAAUUUGAAAUCUUCAAGGUUUGACCUUGACGAAUUGUAGUUUAAAGAAGUGUUUUCUGUUGGAGUUUCGGUAAAAGUUCUUUGGAAUAGGACAUCAUAGAGGGUGAGAAUCCCGUAUUUGACCGUUACUUUCCAGCUGUGUGAUACACUUUCAAAGAGUCGGAUUGUUUGGGAAUGCAGUCCAAGAUGGGUGGUAAAUUUCAUCUAAAGCUAAAUAUUGGCGAGAGACCGAUAGCGAACAAGUACCGUGAGGGAAAGAUGAAAAGAACUUUGAAAAGAGAGUUAAACAGUACGUGAAAUUGUCAAAAGGGAAGCGUUUGACACCAGUGUUGUUUUUCCGAAAAUCAAUUAAAAAUUGAUUCAUGCCAGGUUGUAUUGACCUUAUCAGCUUGCAAUUUGGUUUUGGGUCUCUUUUUGAUGCACUUUUCGGUUAACAAGUCAACAUCAAUUUCCUUUGCUGUAAAAAGGUAAGAGGAAGGUGGCUUCAAUUUCGGUUGAAGUGUUUAUAGCCUUUUAUCUCUGCAGUCGGGGAGAUUGAGGUCUGCAGCGUAGAUCCUUCGGGGCUAGAUACAUUUAUGCUAAGUUAUAGCUUUUCAUAGACAACUUGUUGACUAUGUUUAGUCAUGUAGCUUACUCGUAAGUGCUAUUUUACCUACGCUUAGGAUGUUGAGCGCAUGUCUCUCUC